CUGAGCUGAGUCAUCUCAUAUCUAAUAAAAAUAAUAAUUAUAAUAAUGAAAAAAAAAAAACAUAACACUUUAGAAUCGGGACCACUUAUUCACUAUUAACUACCACUUUUCUCUCAAUACAUUCCUGAUUUGCUGCUUAUUAAUAGUUAGUAAGUUAGUUGUUAAGUUUAGGCAUUGGGUAGGAUUAGCAAUGUAGAAUAAGGUCAUGUAGAAUAAGGCAUUAAUAUGUGAUUAAUUACUACUAAUAAAUGUCUAAUAUUCUAGUAAUAUGCAUGAUAAUAAGCAAUUGGUUAAGAGACUCUAAUAUAAAGUGUUAAAAAAAACAAAAACACUUCCGAUUGUGAUUGUAAAAACACUGAAUGAUUGUGCAAGCAUGUCAAAGUUGUGGAUAUUACAGUGUUAUUACCAUGUUAUCACUACACCCUAUUUUAUUAAUUAAGAUUCAAGAAAUCCUUUUUUAUUGACAUUUGAAAUUUAUAUGAACAUGAGAAUAAGUAACAGGAUUUUACUCUUUGAACUUAUAUCUUAUGACUGCUUGAAAAAAGUCACAUUUAUUAAACCAGCAUUUUAUAUAUAUAUAAAUUACUGCCAAAUAUUAUAUAAUAAAAAUAUAUUUGUUUUAUCUGCACAAACUCAUAAACGUUCAUGUGUCACAUGUGCUGGAAUGAUGAAGGGGGUAGCUAAAUAGUUCUUUUGAUGAUUCACAGGAGAAAGAGGGCUAAACACAAAUCCAAAUAAACUAACUUCAAUAGUGGACAAAGGAAUAAUGGAGAGAACAGACUUUUAAACACUGGGAAUGUAAUCAGUGGGAAAUAAAAAUUUAUUAACUAAACAAGAAAAGGAACAUGACCAAAUAAGGAAACUCAGAAAGAACCAGGCGGCAAGGAAGUUGACCGGAAGUCGGCCGCGUGCCGCCAUUUUGUAGCAGAACUUCACUUGCGUUAGCAUUCCCAUUGACUCCCAUUCAUUUUGGCAUCACUUUGACAGCGAAUAAUUUUACAUCUGAGGCAUUUAAAGACUCCGUUUAUCCAUUAUUUAUUUCUAAAGAUACACAACAAUGUAUAAAGGGCUCCAUUACCUUCUAUGUUACAUUAUGGCCCCGUAGAAACAGUUUUUGUAAAAAACAGGCUAACGAUUGCGUCAUAACCACUCGACUCUCUGUCGCAUUACCGUACAGACAGGAGGAGAAGCUCGCAGGGAAUUAACUUAAUAUGCCGUACUGGCGUUACAUUUUAAAAUACUAUACAAAAUAAUAAAUCAGAAUACUUACUCUUGCUCACUCACGCCAAAGAACUCCCCGCUCAAGCUCGCCAUCUCUGCAAGAUUAACGAUGGCAGUUUGCACGCACAGCCACUUAGAAGAUUUACAUCUGUCAGACAGGUUACUGACGUCAUCAAGCUUCGUUUGAGUCUGCACGUCAGAAACGGAAGUGCUAAAAAACGCUAAAGAUGGGCUUCACUUGUCUCAAUUGAGUUCCAAUGGGGUCGAUGUGUCCAUUUCUUUAACUGUCUAUGGAAAGAACAGAAAUCCAUAAAUGUGACAUCAUGGUACAAACGAGAACGAAUGUUUCACGCUGCAGUGAUUCAUCAGUAGGUGGCAGUAAAAACAGGGUGAGAAAAAAUUCUCUACUUGUCUGUCUGUAGUAUUUUAUUUUAUUUAAUUGCAUAUUCAUGUUUACCAUCAAAAUUCAGUGCUAAAAGUAUUUGUGAGAUAUGGGAAAUACAGUACAAAAGUGUUUUUGAGAUUACUCUAACCAAAAAAAAAAAAAGAAGAAGAAGCUAGAAGUGGCGUGCAGGGUGGUGGAUGGUGAUAGUAGUAACAAUGUACUUUUUUUCUUUCUUUGUUUGUUUCAUAUAAUGCAAAAAAAAACAAAACAAAAAAAAAACAGAGAUACUUACAGAAAUAUAUAAAAAUGAAACAAAUGAUUAUUUGGUCCUAACCCAUUUCUUGUUCUAGUACUAAACAUGUUUUUCUAAAUGUUCUAUGUAGCUCUUCCAGGUCAAACUUAAUGGAGCUAAAGAAGAUCCAAUCAUUCCUUAUUCUUGAAAAUCUGGAAAGCUGAGUAUAAUCAUGCACUUAUUCUGUUAAUCCACCCCACAGUUAACAUGGUCAAACAGCACCUUAUGUCUUUUCUAACAGCACAGCCGUCAUUCAGCGUUGCGUGACUCUUCUGGGUUUGGUACCUGGAGCAUAUCAUCUCCAGAAGACUGCAGAAGACACCUGUUCCACUGAAUCUGUGGCGGCAGACGUGACUGACGAUUUGUCAUGUGACACAACAUUGGCUGAGAUGCUGUCUCCAAAGUUCUCUCAAGCACACACAGCAAGGUGCUUUCAUUUGAGCACAUCCCACUUUAGAAGUCUAGAAAUGUUCUGCUGCACACAUGGCCUUAAAAUUGAAAUAAACACAAAUACCUUUAGUGUU